GAGUAGUAGUUUAUAACUAACUCCCGAAACAAAAAGAUCUAAAUUAAGAUUACCUGUAGAUUAUAAAUCUUCUCUGUAGCAUUAGAGCUAAUAAAUUUUAAUUUAGUAGUGAAACGCUUUCAUUUUUUGUGAUAUCUGGAUAAAAAUUAAAUAUAUUUAGUUUUUAAUAUAAUUACAAAGUGAUAAGAUUUUGUAAAGAUAAUUAUUAGAAUGCAUAGUAGAAUUUUCAAUAUUUAAUACAUUGUGAAAAUUUUUAUAAAUGUAAAUAAAUCAUCUUACAUACCAUUAUAUAAUAUUUUUUUACUUAAGUAAAUAUAUAACUUAUGUAAAUAAUGUACAAAUAAGUAUUUAUAACAAAAUUUUUUUAAGGAAUUCGGCAAAUACUAUAUACGACUGUUUAACAAAAACAUAGCUAGUAGAAUGUUAAUUACUAGUGAUACCUGCCUAGCGAAAAAUUUUAGCGGCCGCAGUACUCUGACUGUGCAAAGGUAGCAUAAUCAUUUGGCUUUUAAUUGGAGUCUUGCAUGAACGGAUAAACGUAUACAUACUGUCUUAAUAAAAAUCUACAAAAAUUAAUUAAGGAGGUGAAAAUACCUCUAUUAAACAAAAAAGACGAGAAGACCCUUAGAAUUUUUAGAAUAAAUAAUUCAAUUUAUUUGGUUUUUUGUUGGGGCAACAACUUUUCAAGUUAACAAAAGUAAAAAUAUAUAACAUAACAAGUAAAAUUAAUUAAGUAUAAAUUACCUAAGGGAUAACAGCAUAAUUAUAUUAUUAGAUUGUGACCUCGAUGUUGGAUUAGGGGUUAUUAAGGCUAGAGGUUUUAAUAAAAUUAGUUCUGUUCGAACAUUACCCCCUA
rnacentral:rRNA from 1 species